GAGAGGAGGGGAGAGGCUUUUAAUCCCUGAAGGGUAAUGAUCCAUGGAAGUGCUAACAGAAAGGUGUUGUGGAGGGACUCGCAUGGUUGCUGGGUUAAGCAAUAGUUUAGGAAUUAAAGUUUAAUGGCUUUUGUGUUUUUCCCCCCUCUAGAAAUUGGGAGCAUGUGGCAUGCGUGUGCAGAGGCUGGGGAAGGUGUUGCAGCCAUAGAAACAAACGUUUUAGUGCUUAAUUUUACGUUUCCCAUUGCAGGCUUGAUGGCUUCUUCACCAGUCAACAUUAGAGCUGGACCAAUGGAAUCUGAACUGGGCGCGCACUGAGAGGCAUGGUCGAGCCUGGACUGGAGGCAGUCUAUGGCAUAAACAAUUCAGGAACAAGGGGCAAAGAUGCCAUGAUGUCCACAAGCUGAAGGUGAAGUCUGGAUCUGGAUCCUGGCCAUGGACCUACUGGACUCAUUCCUAUUAAGCACUGGAGAAGGCAUGUUGACGUCAUGAAAAAUCUGGGUUCCCAAAAAGGUGCUGCAACAUCAGAACAGGCCUAGGAUCACCGUGGGGCAGAAUCAAGUCAAGGACUGAUGAAAUCUUGAGGCCAAUUGGUGUUUCAUCCAUGCUCAGGAUGACCUUCCCAGACAUCAAAAUGGCAGCUGCUUCUUCCUACUUGGAUUGUGUGCUAGACGGUAUGGGGAAAUGAUAGUGAAAUACACUGAUCCUGGAGCCUGGCAGCUGUUCACCCUCCUUCACCAGGCUGAGACACGUGAGCGCUCAAUAAAUCCACCUCUCCUUCUUCCUAUUCUAUUAUAACCAGGUCGGAUGCAUGUUGCCCCUGCCAAUAGGAAUCCAUUGCAUGCCCGGGACUGUAAGAGCUGUGAAGAUGAAAAGCAUUAUCAUUGUACAAUUACUGCACUUCGAGCCUCCACUGGGUACCCCAAAAAACUUCAGUGUUGCCAAUGCAUGUUUUUUAUUGUGAGCCUGUGACGGGUUGGGUCACCCCUGUGAUAUCUGUUAGUCUUAAAGGUGCCAUAGAACUCUGUUGCUUUUUACGUGAUAUUUGGUGUUUUCCUUAAAGCUCCAUCUCCUGGUGUUGUGAUUACCUAAGAAAUCCAGCUUUCAUUGAACGGGGGACAAAAAGGUAAGUCUGUAACUCUCAAGAUUGUAGGGGGGAAAUCAUGAAAAUAUGAAUUCUAAAGGCUCAAACCAGAAAAAAUAAGCAGAACCUCAAUUUUUAAAAAAAUAUCAUGAUUUUUGAAUGUUUGAGUUGGCAACACUGGGGAUUGUUCCCUACCCCGUAAUGCUCUUCAUUAUGAGGCUGUCACAUCCUAUCCCAGGAAUGUGAAGAGGUUGGUUCCUUGGUGAUGGGAUCUUUCAUCAGCUCUGGACUGAUGCCUUUUCUUACUCCACCACAGCCCAGGAAGUCCCACGUGAUAACACCUUUCACGUUCUAGUCCAAAAAGAUAGCACCGUCCCAACGCUCAUCCAAACUGCAGCAUUAGCCAUUUGCCUGCAGGUCAUAUUCCCCUGGCAGCCUCUUGGCAAGAAGGGGGAAAGGUCCAUAAUGUGACCUCCCUCGUUUCUAUUACAAUGUUGUCUGGCUUAGCCCUUUGGCUUGGCAGGUUAUGGAAGUCAGGAUAGUGACAAGGCAUGGGGCAAACCUUAACUAUU